CCUACGGGAGGCAGCAGUGAGGAAUAUUGGUCAAUGGGCGCAAGCCUGAACCAGCCAAGUCGCGUGAGGGAUGACGGUCCUACGGAUUGUAAACCUCUUUUGCCGGGGAGCAACGGACGUCACGUGUGGCGGCAGCGAGAGUACCCGAAGAAAAAGCAUCGGCUAACUCCGGGCCAGCAGCCGCGGUAAUACGGAGGAUGCGAGCGUUAUCCGGAUUUCUUGGGUUUAAAGGGUGCGUAGGCGGACGGUAAAGUCAGUGGUAAAAUUGCGGGGCUCAACCCCGUACUGCCGUUGAAACUGGUGUUCUUGAGUGAACGAGAGGUAUGCGGAAUGCGUGGUGUAGCGGUGAAAUGCAUAGAUAUCACGCAGAACACCGAUUGCGAAGGCAGCAUGCCGGCGUUCAAAUGACGCUGAGGCACGAAAGCGUGGGGAUCGAACAGGAUUAGAUACCCCGGUAGUC
rnacentral:rRNA from 1 species